rnacentral:tRNA from 1 species
GGGGAUUUAGCUCAGUGGUAGAGCGCUUGCCUAGGAAGCGCAAGGCUUCAGUCCCCA